UCUCCACGCUUAAUUUCUGUAAAACCAAGC
rnacentral:piRNA from 1 species